CACAAUGAGGUUACCCCAUACUAUGGAAGGUGCUCAACAUUCCGGUGCUGGGCCAAAGUUGCUGUAAGUCAAGUCUACUAGACAUGACCAAGCUUGCUCAUUCCCAUGACUGAUACCUAUGGCUACUUUUGUAGACAAGGGCCCAGCCACUUUACUGCUAUGACAAGGCUGUAACAAUACAUCAAACAAUGUAUUUACCUCUCUUGGCCUUUAAGAAAAAGUUUGAAUAUAACCAAAGUAAUGAUAAGCAUGAAUAGAAACAUAACAAUAAAAUCCUUCAGUAUGUACUAUUAACAUAUGCUAGAAUUUUUUUUAAAAGAAGAGAACAAUUUUUCUGAACCCUCUCCUAUGGAAGACAAGACAUCAGAGAGACCUGCAUUUACAGCAGUAGAAAUUACCAUGUGCUCCUAGGCCUCAGUUUCCUCAAAUAUAAUAUUAAAAUGCCACCAGCUACCCUGCAGGGGUAUGUUACAUCAUCUAAGGGAGAUAAGACUGAUAAAUUCCUGACACUUAGUAAGGAAAAAAAUGGUAACUAGUAAACUGAGAUAAAUGGCACCUAUAGCUUUGUCUAUCUUGUCAAGAAAUAUUCAAAAGGGAAAUUAUUCAAGCUCCAGCCAAAC